ensembl:miRNA
GUAUUAGGUUGGCACAAAAGUGAUUGCAGUUUUUGCCACUACUUUUAAUGGCAAAAACUGCAAUCACUUUUGCGCCAACCUAAUAGAUU